rnacentral:rRNA from 1 species
GAGAGGAUGAUCAGCCACACUGGAACUGAGACACGGUCCAGACUCCUACGGGAGGCAGCAGUGGGGAAUAUUGCACAAUGGGCGCAAGCCUGAUGCAGCCAUGCCGCGUGUGUGAAGAAGGCCUUCGGGUUGUAAAGCACUUUCAGUCGUGAGGAAGGUAGUGUAGUUAAUAGCUGCAUUAUUUGACGUUAGCGACAGAAGAAGCACCGGCUAACUCCGUGCCAGCAGCCGCGGUAAU